CACCGCUUCUCUGGUUCUCUCUCCAUUCGAGAAGAACGCUGCCGCCGGAGCCCGGAGGGGAGGGAGGGAGGCUGCACUCGCGCCGUCGGAGAGGGGGACCGGGCUCGCACCGCUGCUAGAGAGGGAGGCCGGGCUCGAGGCGCCGAGGAGAUCUCGCGGUGCCGGAGAAGAAGGCUGAGCUCGCGUCGCCGAUGAGGAAGGCAGCGGAGGCGUUCUUCCCUCGUCGCAGCGGCAAGAACUGCGACGAUCCAAUCCCUCCCCUCCUCUCGUACCAUGGAUGGAUGAAUCUGAUGAGCGCAGCAAUGGCUCUUCACGGUGGCCGUGCUUUGAUGAAGCUUGUUUCGUUUGUUGGGGGACAUUUGUUUGUGAAUAAGUGUCUGCUACAUUUCAGAAAUUGUCGAGCUUUCAUCGUCUUGCAAUGGACGCAUUGCCGGCCAAGGAUUUGCAGUCCCAUUCAAUUCGAUUCGUUCUGUCAGUAGGACAAGAACAUGACCACGCUCAUUGUUGCAUCUCCAGCUCGUAAGCAGCUGCUCGUCCUCUACCAUGGCAAGACGCGCGCGGAGUGACCGGCGAGCGCGGUUGGUUGCGGCAAAUGGCAGCCUGUGGGCGAACGGCGGCGAGCUGCGUACGAGAGCGGCCGGAGCGCAUGCGAGCGCACAGCUGCAGUGCGUUGCUUGCCCACAGCGAUGCGCGCGCGGCGAGCGCGAGCAGGACGAGCGGUAGCAACGACCCAAAGCUGCGGGCGGCGAGCUUUGGCAGGGCGACGAGCUCGAGCAAGGUCGAGCGUGGGGAUGACGGCGAAGGAGAAAAAUAUUAGUGGUACCUACGCGUGCUUCGAGUCAGACCACUGAAGAUGUGCCAUGUAGAUCUAUGAGCUAGCAAGUUGACUACAAGAUCAUCAAGGUUGAGGAGGCAUACAGUGUGCUGUGUGCAUAGUGUUGCAAAAGUCUACAAGAUCAUCAAGGUUCACUGUUAACUUGACGGA